ACCCGUCACCGGGUGGGAGUGCAAGGAAGGGCCUGGGGGCGAGCUCCUCCCGGCUGCUGUUGGAGCUGUGCCCACUACACCUAAAGGAGGAGGAACCCAAAUCGAAGAGCAGUGCUCUGUGACGUGGCUGGGGACGAGCACCAGGAGCAGUUUGUGACACCCGCUGCCACGUACCCGAUGCAAGGGGACAUGGGGACAUUGCUCAGUGUGUCUGUGGGGUUAGGAAUGUAAACCACCUGGCAAGGAGGGGAUGGCAGGAGCUGUGACGGGGUGGGCGCUGGUGUGGUUCUGCACCUCCCAGCCCGGGUGAUGCCUCUUGGGUCCCCUUUGUCACCAGGGGGACAUCACCUGGGUGCUCUUCUGUGGUGCGCCAAGGCUCAGGAUGGCAUGUGCUCCAUCCUGGGUCCUGCAUGGGGGAUUUCUCCCCAGCGGUGCUGCUGUGGGCAGGAUUUGAGGAUCUGAACUCCAUGUUUUAGCUUGGAGGCAAGACCUGAAUCGAGCUGCUGGCAAUUCCGGCGGAUUUAACGGAAAGACUGUUGGAGUCAGCGGUCGUAUUUUCUCUUCCUUUUUGGCUCUUUCUCAAGGAAGAAAUACCAGAUACGUGGCGCGCUUAUGGCAUGAGCGGUGUCUGCCCUGUGGGGACGAGCUCCCCAAAAACCAAACACUUGGGGGAAAGGGGGUGUCCCCUGCCUGAGCUGGCAGUCUGGGCAGCACUGCGAGCGGGGUCCAGGUGCAAGAGCUGCCUGCAUGAGGAUGCUGCACUGUUUUUUCCCCUCCCAAGGAGGUGGAGGAAUGCUCAGAGGAUGAGCAGCAAACCUUGGGCUGAAGCUUGCUGCCCAGACUACUUCUUGGCCUUGAUGUGUCUGCUGAGCACUCGGGUGUGAUGCUCUGGUUUUUCCAAGAGCUCUUGCUUCAGCAAAUCUAUCAGGAGGAGAGCGCUCGCUGCCCGGUGACAAAACACAUUCUUGAGAUGGAAAAAGCUCUUUUCAAGGAAAACAUGACAUUUCAAUGGAAAAGUAACUUUGCAUGCUGUUUCUAAUUUUAAAGCUCUGCCUUGGAAUGCUCCCAUGGACUUUGAAAUCAGAGCUGGCCCUUAUGCUUUCCAGGUUUUAUCCACCUUUCCCAUAUAAUUUCAAAUUGCUCCCUCUGUUAACGAGACAAUAUUAAUUCUGCCUUGGUGGAUUUUGCUUAGAUCGCUUCCAAAG